UUACCCUACGGGACGUAGCAGUGGGGGAUAUUGGACAAUGGGGGGAACCCUGAUCCAGCGACGCCGCGUGAGUGAAGAAGUAUUUCGGUAUGUAAAGCUCUGUCAGCAGGGAAGAAUGAAAUGACGGUACCUGACCAAGAAGCCCCGGCUAACUACGUGCCAGCAGCCGCGGUAAUACGUAGGGGGCAAGCGUUAUCCGGAAUUACUGGGUGUAAAGGGAGCGUAGACGGUUAAGUAAGUCUGGAGUGAAAGGCCGGGGCCCAACCCCGGGACUGCUCUGGAAACUAUUUAACUUGAGUGCAGGG
rnacentral:rRNA from 1 species